CCUACGGGUGGCUGCAGUGGGGAAUAUUGCACAAUGGGGGAAACCCUGAUGCAGCAACGCCGCGUGAGCGAUGAAGGCCUUCGGGUCGUAAAGCUCUGUCCUAAGGGAAGAAUACUGACGGUACCUUAGGAGGAAGCCCCGGCUAACUACGUGCCAGCAGCCGCGGUAAUACGUAGGGGGCUAGCGUUAUCCGGAAUUACUGGGCGUAAAGGGUGCGUAGGCGGCCCUUCAAGUCAGAGGUGAAAGGCUACGGCUCAACCGUAGUAAGCCUUUGAAACUAUAGGGCUUGAGUGCAGGAGAGGGGGGUGGAAUUCCAGGUGUGGCGGUGAAAUGGGUGGAUAUUGGGGGGAGAACCAGUGGGGAAGGCGGCUCUCUGGACUGUAACUGACGCUGGGGAACGAAAGGGUGGGAGCGAACAGGAUUAGAUACCCCAGUAGUC
rnacentral:rRNA from 1 species